UACGGAGGGGGCUAGCGUUGUUCGGAAUUACUGGGCGUAAAGCGCACGUAGGCGGACUGGUAAGUCGGGGGUGAAAUCCUGGGGCUCAACCUCAGAAUUGCCUCCGAUACUGGCAGUCUCGAGUGCGGGAGAGGUGAGUGGAAUUCCCAGUGUAGAGGUGAAAUUCGUAGAUAUUGGGAAGAACACCAGUGGCGAAGGCGGCUCACUGGCCCGUAACUGACGCUGAGGUGCGAAAGCGUGGGGAGCGAUCCGG
rnacentral:rRNA from 1 species